UAAUCAUAUUUGACUCCAAAACACUAACCAAGCUUCCUCUUGCUUCUGAAAGUUUUGAUGGUGUAGGUGAAGUCCGUAUGAGUGUUUGGUUUUGUAUCUUCUAACAAGGAAACACAACUUAGGCUUUUAAGAUCUGAUUGCGGUUCUAGUUCUUAUACUCAAUCAUAGACAUGACAUCU
rnacentral:sRNA from 1 species